rfam:Lactobacillus wasatchensis strain WDC04 contig00015, whole genome shotgun sequence.
AUAACCUUUAACUUAGUCCCGCGAGGCUGAGAAGGAUUCCGGUAGAAAAUAUUAGGGCCUCUUAACUCAACGGUUAAGAGGUCUUUUUUAA